rnacentral:lncRNA from 1 species
UUUUCUUGGGUGUGUGGAGGGUUGGGCCUUGUCAUAAUGAGCUGAUUGUGAUUUCUUUGGUUGAGACGUGUGUUUGGAGACCUGGCGGUGGUACAAGGAACCCUAAAAAAUUCCCGGGAUCUUGGAGCUUUCUAGAAACUUUUGGAUGGACCCCAAAGGACCAAUUCAAAGCUCUCCACUUUUUUUAAUUCGUAGAAACCCUAAGAGGAGGAACCCUAGCAUUUGCAUUUUUACUAUCCUACAUUUGAUCAGGCUCUCUGCAGGGAAUGUCAUGAGCUACCAUCGAUCAGUCAAUCCUCGGUCAGUACUGGAGGAACAUCCACUUCAAGAGAAUGCCUGUCGAAAAGCUCAAAGAACAACCAACUGAUCGAUCUCUCGAUCGCGAGAAAAGCGAGAAAAAGCUAACCUUCCCAGCGCGUCGCCUCGGAGCUCACCGCGAUCCCGGUCACCAGUCGCGCCGCCGCCGUGGCGCUGUGCUUGGGCACCAUGGACGAAAUCCCCCUGUGGAUCCUGGAAACAAAAUCUCCUUUGUGCUCGAUCGAUCGAAUCCAUGCACUGGAAAUUCACCUGAUCCUGGCGCUCGCCUGCCCCUCCGGCGAUGGAAUCGCGAUCGAUCGCCGCAGUGGCCGCGCGCCUGGAAUCCCGAGCUGGGGAAGCAAUUCUAGCCGCCUCAUCACUCUUGCCGCCAUGGCUUUUCUUCUAGAGAGCUUAUAAACC